CCGCUGCCGUCACUACUGCCUUGCAGUCGACUUCGGUGGCGCCGGCUGCUGACGAGCCUCGUCCGCAGGAAGGCGCAUCCGGUGUAGCCUGCACCAGCGUGCAGCUGCCGGAUAGGCUGUUUCCUGAUGCUUCAUCUCUUCUUUCUACUGACGACUCUGAGAUGGACCUUGCGGGCCCCUCGCCUUCGGCUGAAGGUCGGGCAGGAAUCAGCCCCGUAAGUUCUGGCAGCUGAUUUCGCCUCCUCUCGAGACUGGCUUUUGUUUACAAGAUGACUCCGGUUCGCUUGCGGGGAGAAACGGUUGCUCGACGGUCCUCAACCAAUACUUUGUGGGGCCAUAUAGAAAGUGCGACGAAUGAAACCAAGUAAGGAGUUGGCAGAACUGCAUUUGAGUGAAAUGUGGGAUUUCCAAGAAAGGACACACAAGUGACCUCUGGACAUGGACAUGGACAAGGACAUGCCGCCACAUCGGUUGGAAGUUCGACGUUCCCUGGCACUCCGUUCUCUGUGUUACUUUCGUCGUCUUCGCUGUUGUCAUGUACCAACCGGCCCCUCGUCUGCGUCUCUUAUUUAGA